UUCAACCUACAAUCACAAGGUCUUCUGCAGGCAAACUCUAAUCGAUGGAAAUUAUGCUUUACUUAAUACUACAACAUCUAUGUAAUGACCAAAAUUGCCUGGCCCGUAAAUAAAUAAAUAAAAACAAAAUUUAUUAAUAAAGUCCAUUUACAGUCCAAAACUCGGUUAGCCCAAAUCCAUUAACCCUAUACCCGUUUACAUUUUUAACCCAAUAAGCCUACACCCGGUUAUACCUAAACCCACUAGCCGGUUACACCCUUGACUCAACUCAGUGUAGCCCAAAGCCUGGAAACCUAUACCCGGUUACACCUUUAGCCCAAACACCAAAAACCCAAACUGGACCCAAACUAGCAAGGCCCAGUGCCUAAAUCGAAUCUGGAAACCCUAGAGUUUCCAGAAGCUUCGCGCCGCAAAUGCCCAAUCGUCAUGCCUUUUCGUCUUGCGCCGUUCCAGUAGCCCUCCAUCAGCGCCGUAACUCCAACUCCAUCUCGCGCCGUAAUCGGCGCAUUUACCGCCAGAUUCUUCGCUGUUACCUGCAAAAGAGGGAAAGAAACAACAAAGACAAAACAAAUAUGGCAAGAAAAUAAAAUUGAAAUCUGUAAAUAUAUUGUAUAAGGCUAUAAAAGCCCGAAGGGAAACAAUGUAAGGGUAGGGUUUUUUUUUUGAAAAAGAAAUAAAACAGAUAUACGGAAAUAUUCAGAGAGAUACAACCAGUUUCUCAAAGGUGAUUUAAUCUUGUACCUUGUUCUUUAUUUUUCGAGGCGCAUACUAAUUAUUUUUGCAAAGAAUUUGUUGAGGUUUAAAAGGAAGGAGAGGUUACCUGUGUUUCGCUUGAACGGACGAAGGUUUUUAACCCUCAAACCGCCGCGUACGACGGCGCGUGUGGCGCGUAUGCAGGUGCUGCCCCAUAGUUGGAGAUCGGAGCCCGGACUAACCUCUUCUCUCUCAUUUCAGAGAAUUUCAAGAUUUUUUUUAAAAGGGGCUUCUGAAAUGAAUUUCAGGCUAUUAAACUGGCUUAAAUAGUGUAAUCAAAACUGUGUCGUUUUACUUAAUUUGAUAAGUACCAAAACGGCACCGUAUAGAUCUAGGAUCCGCGCGUUGACCCGAGAUCCGGGUAGGAUCCGCGUAUUUUUUAAAAGGGGCUAAUUUCCCAAUUGAUCCUCCUGAAUUUUAGUUUUUUUUAAAUUCAUUUUAUUUUAAAUUGGCCAUAACCUUUAUAUUUUAUUUCAAAUUAGCCCUGAUGGCCAUUAAAAUUCAUUCUAAAGAACAACGCCAUUUUGGGAUUAGGGCAAAUUGCCCAGUGAGUCCCUUGUAAUCUUGGGCGCGUUCCAAUUAGGCCUAAAAUCUUUUUUUUUAAUU
rnacentral:lncRNA from 1 species